rnacentral:rRNA from 1 species
CUACGGGGGGCUGCAGCAGGGAAUAUUGCACAAUGGACGGAAGUCUGAUGCAGCGACGCCGCGUGGAUGAUGAAGGCCCUCGGGUUGUAAAAUCCUUUUCAGGGGGACGAGGAAGGACGGUACCCUUGGAAUAAGCGUCGGCUAACUACGUGCCAGCAGCCGCGGUAAGACGUAGGACGCAAGCGUUAUCCGGAUUUACUGGGCGUAAAGCGUCUGUAGGCUGAAUGGUAAGUUGGACGUGAAAGCUCCGGGCUCAACCCGGAGAGGUCGUUCAAUACUGCCAAACUAGAGGGCAUCAGAGGAGCGUGGAAUUUCCGGUGUAGCGGUAAAAUGCGCAGAUAUCGGAAGGAACACCAGUGGCGAAGGCAGCGCUCUGGGAUGAACCUGACGCUAAGAGACGAAAGCUAGGGGAGCGAACAGGAUUAGAUACCCCUGUAGUC